UACGUAGGGUGCAAGCGUUGUCCGGAAUUAUUGGGCGUAAAGAGCUCGUAGGCGGCCUGUUGCGUCCGCUGUGAAAGCCUGGGGCUUAACCCCGGGUCGGCAGUGGAUACGGGCAGGCUAGAGGUAGGUAGGGGAGAAUGGAAUUCCCGGUGUAGCGGUGAAAUGCGCAGAUAUCGGGAGGAACACCGGUGGCGAAGGCGGCGACCUGGUCCUUUACUGACGCUGAGGCGCGAAAGCGUGGGGAGCUAACAGG
rnacentral:rRNA from 1 species